rfam:Flavobacterium sp. EM1308 contig00136, whole genome shotgun sequence.
ACAAUGGGUCUUUUCAGACCCAUUACUUUUUUAUUUUAAAUAUUAG